CUGUAAGGGGAAUGAUGUAUUACUAUAAGGCUCUCAAGAUGCUGGCAUUCCUUGAUUCUGCAUCCGAGAUGGAGAUCAGGG
rfam:Nelumbo nucifera unplaced genomic scaffold scaffold00173, whole genome shotgun sequence